AAAACAUGUCUUUUUGAUUAUAAUUUAAAGUCUAAUCUGCUCCAUGAUUAAAAAAAUUAAAUAGCUGCAGUAUUUUGACUGUACAAAGGUAGCAUAAUCAAUAGUUUUUUAAUUAAAAGCUGGAAUGAAUGAUUUGAUAAGGUAAAUAUUGUCUCAAUUUUAAUAGAGUUAGAAUUUUUUUUUUAGUUAAAAAACUAAGUUGAAUUUAAAAGACGAGAAGACCCUAUAGAUUUUUAUAUUUAUAAAUUUAAUAUUAUAAAAUGUAAUAUAUUAUUAAAUUAAUAAAUAUUUGAUUGGGGUAAUUAUUAAAUUAAGUAAAUUUUAAUUUUUAAUAAACAAUAAUUAUUGAAUUAGAGAUCCUUAUAUUAGGAAUAAAAGAUUAAAUUACCUUAGGGAUAACAGCGUAAUUUUUUUGGAGAGAUCAUAUUGAUAAAAAAGUUUGCGACCUCGAUGUUGAAUUAAGAUUUAAUUUUAAUGGAGAUAUUAAAAAUUUUUGGUCUGUUCGACCAUUAAAAUCUUAC
rnacentral:rRNA from 1 species